UGAGAGAACAGGAGUCCCUCAGAUCUUUUU
rnacentral:piRNA from 1 species